rnacentral:rRNA from 1 species
UGGGGAAUAUUGGACAAUGGGCGCAAGCCUGAUCCAGCCAUGCCGCGUGUGUGAAGAAGGUCUUAGGAUUGUAAAGCACUUUAAGUUGGGAGGAAGGGCUUCAAGUUAAUACCUUGGAGUUUUGACGUUACCGACAGAAUAAGCACCGGCUAACUUCGUGCCAGCAGCCGCGGUAAUACGAAGGGUGCAAGCGUUAAUCGGAAUUACUGGGCGUAAAGCGCGCGUAGGUGGUUUUGUAAGUUGGAAGUGAAAGCCCCGGGCUCAACCUGGGAACUGCUUUCAAAACUGCAAAGCUAGAGUAUGGCAGAGGGUGGUGGAAUUUCCUGUGUAGCGGUGAAAUGCGUAGAUAUAGGAAGGAACACCAGUGGCGAAGGCGACCACCUGGGCUACUACUGACACU